rnacentral:lncRNA from 1 species
UAAAAACCGAUCGAAGGGACAGAAAAGAAAAACACAAAUUUGUUGUUGCAAGCAACAACAAAGUAUAUAAAAAAAAUUCAACAGAAAAUAAAAAAAUGUUAAGCAUGAUUUUAGGCUUCAGAACGCUUGGCAUGGGAUUUUUCGAAACAAAAACGAAGAUGAGAACGAACUCUAAGAACUUAGCGAGCUAUUUUGUAAAAAAAUGACAAUCAAAAGUAAAUUUACCGUACUACAACAACACAAUCAUUGGCAUCCUCCUCCAAUGAACCUGAAAAAGAGCCAAAAAAAAACACACCAUAAAUUCCCAUUGGUUCCCAAAAUGGAAAAUGGGAUUCAAAUGUAUCCCCAUAAAUACUAUGAAUUUUUCAUGAUACAAUAAAUAAAUAACCUUCAUUUUCUUUUAGAUCGAAAUAAGAAGUUAAUAUCAAGUAUGCUCUUCCAUCUUCACCAGAAUCUACAUAUAAUAUCUUGUUCUGCAUACAAAGAAAGUAAAAGGAUUGAUCUGUAAUACAAAACCAAGAUUAGAAUUCAAAUGUAUGAAGGAAAUAAAGUAAGAAUAAUAUUUGAACAAUAUACAUUAUGUGAAAACAAUGUACCCACAAUGUCGCAAAACCUUUCAUUAACUCUUCUUCGUUAUUAACUCUUAGCCCGAAGAAAAAGAUCUGAAAAACCAAAAUACAUCAAUUAUUCAUCUCAAAUGAAUUAACAAAUGGAGUGGAAAAUUCACCCACAUUUAACCCAAACCACACUAAACAUGCAAAUACAUUCCCCUUCAAACAUAAAAACAAAUACAAACACUAAUGUGAACUACAGAUUCAUUCGGAAAAAUACAGAAGCACCAGGGCUACUUCUUUCCUCAGAGCCCAGGGUAUCAACGCGCAAUUCGUACACACAAACACAACAAAAAUACAUCGAUUUGUACAAAAU